UCAUGAAGCAGCCAGUGCUCGACUCGCAGCAGCAGAGCCCAAUGCUUUUUUUUUUUCCUCCCACCGGGCAGCGUUGAGACUUUGUGUUGCCGCUGCAACAAUGCCCAACCUGUGUGAGCGGCGUGCGGCUCCAGAGCAGAGCUGAGAGAGAGAGAGAGAGAGAGAGAGAGAGAGAGAGAGAGAGAGGAGAGGACGUCUCUGCCUGCUUUUUGUCAUCUGGAUGGGAAGUGUUUUUUGGGAGGAGAGACAGAAGAAAGCAGCCGGGGAAGGGGAACAACUGGCAGCAGCCAAUCCCCCCCUUCCACCCUCAGACUGGAGACGACGGAGGCCACUGGAGUAUUUGCUUUUAUCUUUCGUUUUUUGUUCUUUUUUUUCCUCAUCGCGCUGCUGGGAGGUGCUUUACCUUUUCAUUUGCUUGCUCUCUCGGUCCUCUGUCUUCUCAUCUAUUUCGCCAUUUACCUGGUCAACAAUUUCUUCUAUUUAUGAGCCAGACAAGGAGGGGGGAGAGAGGCAGAGAGACAGAGAAAAAGAGAAAGAGAAAAGGGGAGGGGGAUUUUUUUUUUACCCCCUUUUAUUCUCUUUUUUUUCUCCCCUUCAUUCAUCCUCCCUUUCCUUCUCCAUCGCUUCCACUUCCAGCCUUUUCUAUCCCUGUGCAGCCCACGCUCCCUCCUCCCCUCCUCCCCUCACCGCCUCCCUCUUCCUCCCCCCCUCCCUCCCACUCCGCUCACUCUCCACCCUUAACUUUGGCUACUUUUUUGACUCCACCUGUGUUUUAAUUUCCUUUCUUUCCCCCCCUCUGAUAGAGACGUUUUAAUUGGCUUGCUUGUCUUUUCUAUUUAUGCCUUUUUCACUUUUGUACCUUUUUCCUAUUUCCUGUUCCCCCUUCUCUUUUUUCCUCCCUCCAUCCUAUGCAUCUUUUUUGGGCGAUUCUUAAAUCUAACCAUAGGAGAUUUAAUGCCUCUCCUCUUCUGAAGAGAAUGGGAAGUCUGACUUUUGACCAGCUGCCACCCUGAUAAAGGCGCCCUGGAUUUAGCUGUUUUCCUGUGGAAUUACCCUUUAAGUCCUGGAUUCGACCCCCUAGUGAAAACAAAAUUAACAGUCGUUUAAAAACUGUCCUUAAUUGGGGACUUUCUUUUUGACUUCUUUUUCUAACGGACUGAAGCUGAUUUUCAAUAUUUCUUUUUUCCAACUAUUGAAUCUUAACGGGAUUUCACUGACGCGGAUUAAAGACUCCAGCAGCAUCUUUGUCUGUUAGUCGAUGUGUUAGACGAGAUUCUUGCCGCCAAAAUCCAUUAAAAUCAAUAUUUUCUAAUGUUAAGGUUUUCAUAGAGAAACAAGCAAACGUCUCAUCGGAGGAGCGAAGGGGAGAACGGAUGUGAAGCUGCUCCUGUGGAGUACAGUCACCUCCAAAGUGCUGCUCCCCCCUUCCCCCCACCGCCCCCCCACCCGACGCAUCCAGGAUUUUACCUAAAACUGCUUUGAGCCUCCCUCAGUCUGAGGCUAUGAGAGGGAGAGAGGAGUCCCAGGCUGUACCAUCAUGCU